ensembl:lncRNA
UAAACCAGGACUAAACCAGGACUAAACCAGGUCUAAACCAGGUCUAAACCAGGACUAAACCAGGUCUAAACCAGGACUAAACCAGGACUAAACCAGGUCUAAACCAGGACUAGACCAGGACUAGACCAGGACUAGACCAGGACUAAACCAGGACUAAACCAGGUCUAAACCAGGACUAAACCAGGACUAGACCAGGACUAGACCAGGACUAGACCAGGUCUAAACCAGGACUAAACCAGGUCUAAACCAGGUCUAAACCAGGUCUAAACCAGGACUAAACCAGGACUAAACCAGGUCUAAACCAGGACUAAACCAGGUCUAAACCAGGACUAAACCAGUUCUAAACCAGUUCUAAACCAGGACUAAACCAGGACUAAACCAGGACUAAACUGGGACUAAACCAGGUCUAAACCAGGACUAAACCAGGACUAAACCAGGACUAAACCAGGACUAAACCAGGACUAAACCAGGACUAAACCAGGUCUAAACCAGG